rnacentral:rRNA from 1 species
CCAGCAGCCGCGGUAAUUCCAGCUCCAAUAGCGUAUAUUAAAGUUGUUGCGGUUAAAAAGCUCGUAGUUGGAUUUCUGCCGAGGACGACCGGUCCGCCCACUGGGUGUGCAUCUGGCUCGGCCUGGGCAUCUUCUUGGAGAACGUAUCUGCCUCUUCCUUCUGGGGACCAACGUGUCCUUAAUUGGGCGUGUUGGAUAACCAGGACUUUUACUUUGAAAAAAUUAGAGUGUUUAAAGCAGGCUUACGCUUGAAUACAUUAGCAUGGAAUAAUGGAAUAGGACUUUGGUUCUAUUUUGUUGGUUUCUAGGACCAAAGUAAUGAUGAAUAGGGAUAGUUGGGGGCAUUAGUAUUGAGCUGUCAGAGGUGAAAUUCUUGGAUUUGCUCAAGACUAACAACUGCGAAAGCAUUUGCCAAGGAUGUUUUCAUUGAUCAAGAACGAAAGU